UAAUUUUCUCACGGGGGAGGGGAGGUUUUGGUGGGGUUUCUUUACCCACCGAAAGGCUGCAGCGUUGCUCGGGCUGCAGGCGGAGGGAGCGGGACGUGUCCCUCUGCUCUGCCCUCGUGAGGCCUCGCCCGGAGGCUGCGCCCGGCUCCGACCCGGCACAGGCGGGAUGUGCCCGCCGGGGCGGCACGAAGGGGCAAGGAAGCAGCGGGCACAAAGAUGCUCAGAGGGCCAGAGCACCUCUCCUAUGGAGCCAGGCUGGGAGAGCCGGGGAUGUCCAGCCUGGAGAGGAACGGGCUCCGGCGGAGGCCUCACUGCGGCCCUCCAGUGGCUGAAGGGGCCUAUAGGCAAGGCAGAGAGCGAUUUCUUCACAUGGGCAGCGAGUGAGAGGAAAAGGGGGAACGAUUUUAAACCAGAAGAGGGAAGAUUUAGAUUAGAUGUUAGGAAGAGCUGUGAGGGUGUCGAGACACUGGAAUAGGCUGCCCAGAGAAGCUGUGGAUGCGCCAUCCCUGGAAGGCACUAUUCCAGGCCAGGAUAGAUGUGGCCCUGAGCACCCUGGUCUAGCGGAUGGUGUCCCUAUCCAUGGCAGGGGAGUUAGAACCAGAUGAUCUUCAAGGUCCCUUCCAAGCCAAAGCAUUCUGGGCCUCCACGAGGGUGCAACGAGGUCACCGGCUACCGGAACAUGGAAUGUUACCAAACGGUUGCCAUGCGGGCGUCCGCACGGAGGGGUCAGGAGCCCAACACUCCAUCGACAGUUGGCAGUUGGCGGAUACUCUGCUGGGAAGCAGGUGCAGAGCCUCUGUCUUCUCUGUCCCUGGUGGGAACAGAAGGCGAUUUGCUGAUAAUUUUCAAGAAAAAUUCUCAACUAACUGAACAGGUGAGUGUAGAUGAUCUUUGAAAGUGUUUCUGAUGCUGUGGGGCUGUUCUGGGCUUCAAGUCCAGCUGCAGGUGUCUGGGACUCAAGUACCAGACUCAUAGAUUUCCCCUCUAGCUUUGGGCAGAAACUGGUGACUCGUCAAAGGGAAUCUUAGAGUAUGUGUGGGUAUUUAAGAGAACAGGCAUUCCAGAUAGGUAAUCUCCUCUCUUCUUUUCUGAUAGGUUCGGAAGAACAUCAUUCUCUGAUUCCUAGAAAUCAGGAUUUUGUAGACUGUUCUGCCUAAGGAGUCUAAGGGAUCGAUUGCUGUAACUUCCCUGAAAUUCCUUUUUUGGUGUUUGUCCCACUGACUUUUCCAGUGGUUUUAGAUCACAAAACACCAUGAGCACAAAUCGGCGAAAGCGCCGUGGAGGAGCCGUUAAUUCCAGACAAGCUCCGAAACGAAGCAGGCUGCUGGCUUCUAGUGCCGGUGAAGCUUCAGCAGCAGAGCCAAUAGACCUCGAAGACAGUCAUGUGCUUUCUUUUGACCUUGGUAAGAACAGAAACUGCUUCUAGAGGUUUGACAUACAGCUGAACAUAUGCUUUUGCCAGUUUCUAGGCCCUUUACUGGGGAGGAAGGGAAACAUGGGAUUUUAGGAAGUGCCUAGUAUGGCAUCUCUAAACAACAAGCCUUCUCACAACCAUUUGGGUUUGUUACUGAGCUGUGAUACAUUUUCCACUAAAAUGAGAGAGAUUCCAUGCUUUCAUUUGAAAGAGAAUGAGAGAGAAUUUCUGCUAAAAUGAGGGAGAUGAGCUGUGUAUCAAAGGUCCUCAAGUGCUGCUCAGACAUCUGAAUGAACUCUGAUGAGCUGGCAGGUGCCACAGCUGCCACUACAGAGGGUGGCAAACUAAGUAUGAGAUCUCUGAAGUUGGAAGAAGAUAAGGAAAAGGUAGCUGUGCCCCAUCCCUCAGGGGAACAUGUACAGCAUGGUACUGUAAAAUUAUGAUACCCUCUAUGAUUCUGGUUCUGCUUUGGGUUUUGUUUUGGGUUUUUUUUCUGUCUGAUAAACAUUACCCUAUGUUAGAUGAAUCAUCUGUUGGUGUGUACCUCCCGCAAGAUAUUGUUAUCCAACAGAAUUGUGUGAGAAGUUCAGCUGCUGUUCCUCUUGUGCUGCCACCUGUGAUAAAACAGGGAUGGUAAUGGUCACUGUGGACUGUUGAGGGCAAAGCUUGAGUGAAAUUUUGGCCACAUUCCUGAAGAGAAGAGACCCAAGGCACAAAUGAAUCUACCUCAGCCUGUUCCACAGUGACAGCCCAUUUCUCUUUUUCAGCUGUUGACGAAAUCAUAGAUCUCACAGACGAAUCUGCUGAGCCUGAAGUCAUUGAUCUAACUGGUGAUGAUUCUGUUGUGCAGUGGGAGCAGAACCAGGAGCACCCACUUGUUUCCAGUGCAGCAGACAAUUCAGUUGUGCUACUGACGAGUGAUGAUGAAGAGGAACCAAGAGAUAAUGAUGGUUCUCUUCUCUCUAGCACACGGCCAGUAGGUACUGUUAGCUCUCCAAUUUGGAUAGAUGACUACUCAGAGCUUCUUGAAGGGUAUGAACAACAAGGGAGAAAUCUUACACCAAGAAGCCAGCAACUGUUGGACAGCCCUGUACUGCGCAGUUAUGAAUAUGAAACAUAUGAAUAUGAAUAUGAUGUGCCUGACAUAGAGUCUGAAGUGACUGA